ensembl:snRNA U6 U6 spliceosomal RNA
GAGCAGGCUCGCUUUGGCUGCACGUGUACUAAAAUUGGAACAAUUCAGAAAGAUUAGCGUGGCCCCUCAGCAAGGAUGAUGUGCAGAUCCAUGGAGAGUAAUUUC